CCUACGGGAGGCAGCAGUGAGGAAUAUUGGUCAAUGGGCGGGAGCCUGAACCAGCCAAGUCGCGUGAGGGAUGACGGCCCUCUGGGUUGUAAACCUCUUUUGCCGGGGAGAAAAGUGCCGCACGUGUGCGGUUUGGCGCGUACCCGGCGAACAAGCAUCGGCUAACUCCGUGCCAGCAGCCGCGGUAAUACGGAGGAUCCGAGCGUUAUCCGGAUUUAUUGGGUUUAAAGGGGGCGUAGGCGGGUUGUUAAGUCAGUUGUGAAAGUUUGCGGCUCAACCGUAAAAUUGCAGUUGAUACUGGCAUCCUUGAGUACAGUAGAGGUAGGCGGAAUUCGUGGUGUAGCGGUGAAAUGCUUAGAUAUCACGAAGAACUCCGAUUGCGAAGGCAGCCUGCUGGACUGUAACUGACGCUGAUGCUCGAAAGUGUGGGUAUCAAACAGGAUUAGAUACCCCAGUAGUC
rnacentral:rRNA from 1 species